GUCAGUUCUACCACAAAGGUUCUACCUAACAUGGAAAGAGCAAGAGAGUUGUGUCAUCAAGAGAAAGUUUUCUUAUCCAAGUCUGCAACAGAUGAGGUGUUAAAUCUGCAGAUGACCCGCAAACACCUCUAAGUCUCGAGCCUUACGGAGACAGACUAAAACUCUUUUGGAGGAUGAAAAUUCACCAUGAGGGAAGAGCCAAAGCCACGGUUUCACUGACGUCGUGAGUGUGAGCCCCACAGUCUUCCACUGCUGACUCUUCAGAGCAAAGGUGAAAACGGUACCUACCUCUCCAAGAGCAUGCAGUUACUUGAGAAGCCUCAUAAUGAUUACCUGGGCUCAUGCAUAUGAAACCUGAACGAAGGAAGAGAAAAGACCCUUCCCACUGUCUGGGCCACGCACUGCAGCAAACCUCCCGAGGGGCCCAGCCGCUAGCUGAGGCAGAUAAGCUCUGACAAGAUGAUAAGAAGAUCAACUGAAUUCCACUUCGAAGAGUGAAACUGGAGUUAGCUCCCCAGGGGGCUGAUCUGCUACUGGCCAUGUUAGGCAGGAUCCCUCCUGUCCUUCCCAGUUUUCUCCUGUGCUUUUCAGAAUGACUGGAAGGGAUGCUGAGGCAUCAUCAUCAUCUCUUCAAAACGAUGAGAACCUUGAUAGCUUAGCUGACGUUCUAUCACCCUUAGUAAAUUGUUCAAAACUGCUACAGACUGAACGUUGUGUCCCCCCCAAAUUCAGUUGUUGAAACCUAAUCCCCAGUGUGACACUAUUAGGAGGUGAGGCCUUUGGAAGGUGGCUAGGUGAUGAGGGCGGAGCCUCAUGAAUGGGGUUAAUGCCCUCAUGAAAGAGGCCCGGAGAUUUUCCUUGCCCUUCGGCCAUGACAGGACACAGCGAUAAGCCAUCUGUGAACCAGAAAUCCCUCACCAGAAUCUCCUGGCACCUUGAUCUGGGACUUCCCAGCCUCCAGAACUGUGAGAGAUGUUUCUGUUGUUUAUAAGCACCCAGCCUACAGUAUUCUGUUACAGGGCCUGAACGGACUAAGACAAUAACUAAAUCUCUCCUUCAACACUUUCAAGCCUCAUCCUAAUCUAAGAAAUCUUAUCCCCAUAGACAAUUACUCUCGAGUAUCUUACUCUCUUCUGCAUUUUCUGUUUCAGCUUUAAAUACGUGUAUGUCUUCCCUGAUCUUAAACCACAUCCCCCUAUCUGACACCCUAUUUUUCUCCUUGUAUCAUUUAUACAGAUAGAAUUGGCUCUUUUUAAGUGUCGUUCAUCUCUCCCCCUUGAAUAUAACAAACGUUGAAUUUGCUGCUUUGUCAAAUAAGACUAACACAUCAGCUGGAUUUUUAAAAAAAUUUAUGGAAAUUAAGAAAGUUCAAAUCUAGUAUUCUUCUUGUCUAUGUACCUAUAUGAAUUUGAAAAUACUGGCUAAGUUGAAACUGUUGAAUUAUCUCCAGAUUUCAAUUAAGUCUUGCCCUGGGUGCUAAUACAUUAUAUUGCUUCAGUUUUCUUUAAAAUGAACCGCUUCUCCCCAAAGACCACCUUCCCAAUGGUUAACA